rnacentral:rRNA from 1 species
UACGUAGGGUGCAAGCGUUAAUCGGAAUUACUGGGCGUAAAGCGUGCGCAGGCGGUUGUGCAAGACAGAUGUGAAAUCCCCGGGCUUAACCUGGGAACUGCAUUUGUGACUGCACGGCUAGAGUGUGUCAGAGGGGGGUAGAAUUCCACGUGUAGCAGUGAAAUGCGUAGAUAUGUGGAGGAAUACCGAUGGCGAAGGCAGCCCCCUGGGAUAACACUGACGCUCAUGCACGAAGCGUGGGGAGCAAACAGGA